rnacentral:rRNA from 1 species
CCUACGGGAGGCAGCAGUGGGGAAUUUUGGACAAUGGGCGCAAGCCUGAUCCAGCAAUGCCGCGUGAGUGAAGAAGGCCUUCGGGUUGUAAAGCUCUUUUGUCAGGGAAGAAACGGUGGAGGUUAAUACCUUCUGCUAAUGACGGUACCUGAAGAAUAAGCACCGGCUAACUACGUGCCAGCAGCCGCGGUAAUACGUAGGGUGCAAGCGUUAAUCGGAAUUACUGGGCGUAAAGCGUGCGCAGGCGGUUGUGCAAGACAGAUGUGAAAUCCCCGGGCUCAACCUGGGAAUUGCAUUUGUGACUGUACGGCUAGAGUGUGUCAGAGGGGGGUUAGAAUUCCACGUGUAGCAGUGAAAUGCGUAGAGAUGUGGAGGAAUACCGGAUGGCGAAGGCAGCCCCCUGGGAUAACACUGACGCUCAUGCACGAAAGCGUGGGGAGCAAACAGGAUUAGAUACCCUGGUAGUCCACGCCCUAAACGAUGUCUACUAGUUGUCGGGUCUUUAUUGACUUGGUAACGCAGCUACGCGUGAGUAGACCGCCGUCGGGUAGGUACGGUCGCGAGAGUAAACGUACGAAGUAGAGUUAGACGGCGUGAGACGUAGACCGACGGACGACGACGAGGGGAGGAGG